rnacentral:tRNA from 7 species
GUUUGUCUAGCUUAGUCGGUAUAGUGCAACGCUUUUAACCUUAAGGUUGUGGGUUUGAGCCCUAUGGUGGUCG